GCUUUCCUUGUCUUGGGGUGGAUUGGGAAUCUCAAUGAACGUCUGGUGAGAGAUUCCCUGCUGACACCAUAAUCAACACGUAGGCAUCGCCCGAACCUCAGGUUCUGGGUCUGGUGCAAUUUUUGGAAAC
ensembl:snRNA